rnacentral:rRNA from 1 species
AGAGUUUGAUCCUGGCUCAGGACGAACGCUGGCGGCGUGCUUAACACAUGCAAGUCGAACGAGAAUCUACUGAAAGAGUUUUCGGACAAUGGAUGUAGAGGAAAGUGGCGGACGGGUGAGUAACGCGUGAGGAACCUGCCUUGAAGAGGGGGACAACAGUUGGAAACGACUGCUAAUACCGCAUGAAGCAUAGGGGUCGCAUGAUCCUUAUGCCAAAGAUUUAUCGCUUCAAGAUGGCCUCGCGUCUGAUUAGCUGGUUGGCGGGGUAACGGCCCACCAAGGCGACGAUCAGUAGCCGGACUGAGAGGUUGAACGGCCACAUUGGGACUGAGAUACGGCCCAGACUCCUACGGGAGGCAGCAGUGGGGAAUAUUGGGCAAUGGGCGCAAGCCUGACCCAGCAACGCCGCGUGAAGGAAGAAGGCUUUCGGGUUGUAAACUUCUUUUAAGAGGGAAGAGCAGAAGACGGUACCUCUAGAAUAAGCCACGGCUAACUACGUGCCAGCAGCCGCGGUAAUACGUAGGUGGCAAGCGUUGUCCGGAUUUACUGGGUGUAAAGGGCGUGCAGCCGGGUCUGCAAGUCAGAUGUGAAAUCCAUGGGCUCAACCCAUGAACUGCAUUUGAAACUGUAGAUCUUGAGUGUCGGAGGGGCAAUCGGAAUUCCUAGUGUAGCGGUGAAAUGCGUAGAUAUUAGGAGGAACACCAGUGGCGAAGGCGGAUUGCUGGACGACAACUGACGGUGAGGCGCGAAAGCGUGGGGAGCAAACAGGAUUAGAUACCCCUGUAGUCCUAUCCAACCACG